UGAGACUCUCAUAUCUUCCUAGAAGGAAAA
rnacentral:piRNA from 1 species